rnacentral:rRNA from 1 species
ACGAGUGGCGGACGGGUGAGUAACGCGUAGAAAUCUGCCCAGUAGUGGGGGACAACCCGGAGAAAUCCGGGCUAAUACCGCAUACGCCCUACGGGGGAAAGGAGGGGAUCUCUUCGGAGACCUUUCGCUAUUGGAUGAGCCUGCGUCGGAUUAGCUAGUUGGUAGGGUAACGGCCUACCAAGGCGACGAUCCGUAGCUGGUCUGAGAGGACGAUCAGCCACACUGGGACUGAGACACGGCCCAG